rnacentral:rRNA from 1 species
AACGAACGCUGGCGGCAGGCUUAACACAUGCAAGUCGAACGCAUUCUUUGGGGUGAGUGGCAGACGGGUGAGUAACGCGUGGGAACGUGCCCUUCAGUUCGGGAUAACCCAGGGAAACUUGGGCUAAUACCGGAUACGUGCGAGAGCAGAAAGAUUUAUCGCUGAAGGAUCGGCCCGCGUCUGAUUAGCUAGUUGGUGGGGUAAUGGCCCACCAAGGCGACGAUCAGUAGCUGGUCUUUGAGGAUGAUCAGCCACAUUGGGACUGAGACACGGCCCAAACUCCUACGGGAGGCAGCAGUGGGGAAUAUUGGACAAUGGGCGCAAGCCUGAUCCAGCCAUGCCGCGUGAGUGAUGAAGGCCUUAGGGUUGUAAAGCUCUUUCGUCCGGGACGAUAAUGACGGUACCGGAAGAAGAAGCCCCGGCUAACUUCGUGCCAGCCGCCGCCGUAA